rnacentral:rRNA from 1 species
AACGAACGCUGGCGGCAUGCCUAACACAUGCAAGUCGAACGAGAUCUUCGGGUCUAGUGGCGCACGGGUGCGUAACGCGUGGGAAUCUGCCCUUUGGUUCGGAAUAACAGUUGGAAACGGCUGCUAAUACCGGAUGAUGACGAAAGUCCAAAGAUUUAUCGCCAGAGGAUGAGCCCGCGUAGGAUUAGCUAGUUGGUGUGGUAAAGGCGCACCAAGGCGACGAUCCUUAGCUGGUCUGAGAGGAUGAUCAGCCACACUGGGACUGAGAAACGGCCCGGACUCCUACGGGAGGCAGCAGUGGGGAAUAUUGGACAAUGGGCGAAAGCCUGAUCCAGCAAUGCCGCAUGAGUGAUGAAGGCCUUAGGGUUGUAAAGCUCUUUUACCCGGGAUGAUAAUGACAGUACCGGGAGAAUAAGCUCCGGCUAACUCCGUGCCAGCCGCCGCCGUAACAC